ACACCAAUGGUGAAGCGGUUAUCAUGCUUGCCUUCCAUUUUCGCUUACGUAAUCCGAAAGGAUAACUGCUACACGAUUAGUGAGCAAGCGGCAGGGGUUCGACUCCCCUUUGGUGUA